rnacentral:rRNA from 1 species
AUUGAACGCUGGCGGCAGGCCUAACACAUGCAAGUCGAGCGGUAGCACAGAGAGCUUGCUCUCGGGUGACGAGCGGCGGACGGGUGAGUAAUGUCUGGGAAACUGCCUGAUGGAGGGGGAUAACUACUGGAAACGGUAGCUAAUACCGCAUAACGUCGCAAGACCAAAGUGGGGGACCUUCGGGCCUCAUGCCAUCAGAUGUGCCCAGAUGGGAUUAGCUAGUAGGUGGGGUAAUGGCUCACCUAGGCGACGAUCCCUAGCUGGUCUGAGAGGAUGACCAGCCACACUGGAACUGAGACACGGUCCAGACUCCUACGGGAGGCAGCAGUGGGGAAUAUUGCACAAUGGGCGCAAGCCUGAUGCAGCCAUGCCGCGUGUGUGAAGAAGGCCUUCGGGUUGUAAAGCACUUUCAGCGGGGAGGAAGGCGGUGAGGUUAAUAACCUCAUCGAUUGACGUUACCCGCAGAAGAAGCACCGGCUAACUCCGUGCCAGCAGCCGCGGUAAUACGGAGGGUGCAAGCGUUAAUCGGAAUUACUGGGCGUAAAGCGCACGCAGGCGGUCUGUCAAGUCGGAUGUGAAAUCCCCGGGCUCAACCUGGGAACUGCAUUCGAAACUGGCAGGCUAGAGUCUUGUAGAGGGGGGUAGAAUUCCAGGUGUAGCGGUGAAAUGCGUAGAGAUCUGGAGGAAUACCGGUGGCGAAGGCGGCCCCCUGGACAAAGACUGACGCUCAGGUGCGAAAGCGUGGGGAGCAAACAGGAUUAGAUACCCUGGUAGUCCACGCCGUAAACGAUGUCGAUUUGGAGGUUGUGCCCUUGAGGCGUGGCUUCCGGAGCUAACGCGUUAAAUCGACCGCCUGGGGAGUACGGCCGCAAGGUUAAAACUCAAAUGAAUUGACGGGGGCCCGCACAAGCGGUGGAGCAUGUGGUUUAAUUCGAUGCAACGCGAAGAACCUUACCUGGUCUUGACAUCCACAGAACUUUCCAGAGAUGGAUUGGUGCCUUCGGGAACUGUGAGACAGGUGCUGCAUGGCUGUCGUCAGCUCGUGUUGUGAAAUGUUGGAUUAAGUCCCGCAACGAGCGCAACCCUUAUCCUUUGUUGCCAGCGGUCCGGCCGGGAACUCAAAGGAGACUGCCAGUGAUAAACUGGAGGAAGGUGGGGAUGACGUCAAGUCAUCAUGGCCCUUACGACCAGGGCUACACACGUGCUACAAUGGCAUAUACAAAGAGAAGCGACCUCGCGAGAGCAAGCGGACCUCAUAAAGUAUGUCGUAGUCCGGAUUGGAGUCUGCAACUCGACUCCAUGAAGUCGGAAUCGCUAGUAAUCGUAGAUCAGAAUGCUACGGUGAAUACGUUCCCGGGCCU